rnacentral:lncRNA from 1 species
CUUUGAACCUAAAUACAUUACCUACAAUGGAAGUAAACAUGUUGGUAACGGAACCUUCUUCAAAAAGGUCUAAAGGGUAAGCUACAUAAGCAAUAUAUUGAUGUUUUACUCCAAUAACACGCUCGAUGCGGUAGCAUCACCCUUUGUAACGAUCAAGACUAGUAAGUCCAUCGGUCCAUACAGUUGUCCAUGUACCAGUAGAUGAUUUGGCAGCUACCGCGGCCCCUGCUUCUUUAGGUGGAACUCCAGGUUGAGGAAUUACUCGGAAUGCUGUCAAUAUAUCAGUAUCCUUGGUUUGGUACUCAGGAGUCUAAUAAGUUAAUUUGUACUCUUUAACACCAGCUGUGAAUCCAACACUUGCUUUAGUCUCUAUUUGUGGUGACAUAAAUCCCUCCCUACAACUCAUGAAUUAAGAAUUCUCACAACAACAAGGUCUACUCGACACGAAUUACGCGUUAAUGAAACUUUUCACAGGAAUCUUUCAGAAAAUUUCCAACUAAUACUAAUAUUAUCAAUUAAUCAGAAUGGUUGAUUAUUAGACCAUGGUAUUUGAUUUGCCAAAUACAUCAUUAUUGUAUACUCUUUCAUAUAUAUAGCGCAACCCAAUUUUGAUUUUUUACCUUUUUUUUUGAAAUGGAAAUACCUAACUAAACUAAAUAAUAAGAACUUCCCCCUUGACAGUGGUAUAUGUUGUAUAUGUAAAUCCUAAAUGUGAAAAUAUAUGGAAUUCCGCUAUGAAAGGUAUAAAAAAGAAAGAAAAACGCAAAGAAAAGAAUAGGCUAGGCAUAAAUCAAUAUGCUGAAAUUUAACUAAAAAAUAAAUAAGAAAAAUAAGAAGAGGAGCCCAUUAGAUCCAAAUAGUGAAUCGUAAUAGAAAUAUAAAAUAAAGUUCAGGUUCGAAUUCCAUAGAAUAGAUAAUAUGGAUGGGAUUGUCUAUAAUGAUAGACAAAUGAAAGACUUUCUCAAGAUUCUGAUUCAUCCACUUGAGAUUUUUAAAUUAAAAUAGGUUGGGUGAGCUUGCAAAUUAACUCAAUCUCAUUGAAUAAGUAAACAAUUGAAUUGGUUCAAUUGCAUGGUGCCAACGAAAUUGAGUGCUAAUUCCCAUUUUAUUGAAUUAACCGAUCGACGUACUAGCGGACAUUUACUUUGAAUUCGAUAAUUUUUGAAAAAACAUUUUGACAUAUUUAUUUAUUUUAUUAUUAUAAGAAUCAAUCCUACUAAUUAUGGUUCUGGGGUUUCCACACUUGAAAAAAAAAACUGGGGUGUGUCGUCCAAAUCAUCGGUCUGGUACUAGAUGUAGCCUUUCCUCCGGGCAAGAUGCCAAAUAUUUAUAACGCUCUCGUAGUUCAAGGGCGAGAUAGUAUUGGUAAACCAAUUAAUAUGGCUUGUGAGGUACAACAAUCAUUAGGAAAUAAUCAAGUUAGAGUUGUAGCUAUGAGUGCUACAGACGGUUUAAUGAGAAAAAUGGAAGUGAUUGACACAGAAGCUCCUAUAAGUGUUCCGAUCGGAGGGGCAACUCUGGGAUGAAUUUUUAACGUGCUCGGAGAGAUGUUGUUAAUUUAAGGCCUGUAGAUACCAGUACAACAUCUCCUAUUCAUAGAUCUACGCCCGCCUUUAUACAGUUGGAUACAAAAUUAUCUAUUUUUCAAACAGGAAUUAAAGUAGUAGAUCUUUUAGGCCCUUAGCGUCGUGGAGGAAAAAUUGAACUAUUCAGGGGAGAUGGAGUGGGUAAAACAGUACUCAUUAUGGAAUUGAUUAACAAUAUUGCUAAAUCUCACGGGGGCGUAUCUGUAUUUGGCGGAGUGGGUGAACGUACUCAGGAAGGAAAUGAUCUUUACACGAAAAUGAAAGAAUCUGGAGUGAUUAAAGAAAAAAAUAUUGCGGAAUCAAAAGUGGCCGUAGUUUAUAGUCAGAUGAAUGAACCACCAGGAGCUCGUAUGAGAGUUGGUUUGACUGGCCUAACUAUGGCGGAAUAUUUCUGAGAUGUUAAUGAGCAAGAUGUACUUCUAUUUAUUGACAAUAUCUUCCGUUUCGUCCAAGCAGGAUCCAAAGUAUCAGCCUUAUUGGGUAGAAUGCCUUCCGCUGUGGGUUAUCAACCGACCCUAAGUACUGAAAUGGGUUCUUUACAAGAAAGAAUUACUUCUACCAAAGAAGGGUCCAUAACCUCUAUUCAAGCAAUUUAUGCACCCGCAGACGAUUUGACCGACCCUGCUCCUGCUAAGACAUUUGCACAUUUAGAUUCUACUACCAUACUAUCAAGAGGAUUGGCUGCCAAAGGUAUUUAUCCAGCAAUAGAUCCUUUAGAUUCAACAUCAACCAUGCUUCAACCUCAGAUCAUUGGUGAGAAACAUUACGAAACCGCCCAACGAGUUAAGCAAACUUUACAACGUUACAAAGAAAUUCAGGACAUUAUAGCUAUCCUUGGAUUGGAUGAAUUAUCUGAAGAGGAUCAUUUACUCGUAGCAAGAGCAUAAAAAAUUGAGCGUUUGUUAUCACAACCCUUUUUCAUAGCAGAAGUAUUUACUGGUUCUCUAGGGAAAUAUGUUGGUCUAGCAAAAACAAUUUGAGGAUUUCAAUUGAUCCUUUCCGAAGAAUUAGAUGGUCUUCCUGAACAGGCUUUUUAUUUGGUAGGUAAUAUCGAUGAAGCUACCGUGAAGGCUAUGAACUUAGAAAUGGAGAGCAAUUUGAAGAAAUAACCUUAAAUCUUAGUGUACUGACUCCUAAUCGAAUUGUUUGGGAUUCAGAAGUGGAAGAAAUCGUGCUAUAUACUAAUAGUGGUAAAAUUAGCAUAUUACCAAAUCACGCCCCUAUUGCCACAGUUGUAGAUAUAGGGAUUUUGCGAAUACGCCUUAACAACCAAUGGUUAACGAUGGCUCUGAUGGGUGCUUUUACUAGACUAGGCAAUAAUGAGAUCACUGUUUUAGUAAAUGAUGCAGAUAAGGGUAGUGACAUUGAUCCACAAGAAGCUCAGCAAACUCUUGAAAUAGCGGAGGCUAAUGUGAAAAAGGCUGAAGGAAGGAGACAAUAAAUUAAGGCAAAUCUAGCUCUCCGAAGAGCUAGAACACGGGUGGAGGCUAUCAAUCUGAUUUCAUAACAAGUUAGUACGACUAGUUAGUACAUUCGAAUAAUAAAAAGAAGUUCUUUUUCUAAUCCUAUUUAGAUUCUGUCGGGUGAAUACAAUCAAAUACAAUCAAACAGAAGCCAAUUCUGAUGCAAAAAUUCAAAUUUAAAAAUGAAAUAGAAAAGAUACAAAAUCAAAAAAUAAAUAUCACUAAAGGUGGGUUGUAACCCAUAUUAGAUACCAUUGACUCUGGUAUCUAAUAAGUUUUACCUACUAUUAGAUUUGAACCAAUGACUCCCUCCGUAUGAAAGCAGUACUCUAACCACUGAGUUAAGUAGGUCAUUUAUCAUUCCAAAGAGAACCAAACGAAACCCAUCCUGUCGAUGGAUUAUAAAUAUCAUAUUACUUAUAAGCAAUACUAAUCUAAUAAGCAAUACUAAUCUAAGGAAUACCACUCAAAGAGAUCAAAGAUUGUUGAUGUUGGAUCAUGGAAUAUUUAUCUUGACAAGAAUUUAUCUACAUGAUAAAAUAUGUAUCACAAGCACUAAGGGCUAUAGCUCAGUUGGUAGAGCAACUCGUUUACACGCGCGCCAAUGUUUUUCAAGGGAGUUCAUCAUACAAUCAGAAAAAUCGAUCUUGUUGAGAAAUCGAUGUCUUACUCCAUAACUUUGAGGGAACCAUAGCCUGACAAAGGGUUCGGUCCAAUUUGGACGUCCAUUUAGGAGGUGCCAAACAGACCCCAUCAUUGAUUUGAGAUCUUGAUAAGGUGAAUACCCAGUCUAUUCAAUGCUAGGCAUAAUGAGAGUAUAAGGACCUCAAAAAAAUCUCUUUUCGUCAUAUGAACUUUAAGGUGUAUGAAGUUUCAUAUUUGAUUUUUUAAGCAGAAACGAUAGAGACUUCAUUUAACUUAGGUUUAUUUACGCCAGAGAUAGACCUACGUCAAGAUAAUCCCACCUUUGAAACACUUUAGUAAUGCUCCCAAAUAAUGAAUCAGAGCAUGUGGAGCCAUUUCCAAAGUAAGUUACUUCUUCUCAGUACUUCAACUGAGAUAAUGAAAAAUUAUUUCACCUUUUUAGUUCUUUUUAGUUGGAACUUUAGGCGGUUCUCGAAAAAAGAUAGCAAAAAUUUUUUUCCCUAAAGUCGAUACUAAGAGGAAUGUAUAAACCAAUGCUUCCAUAGAUUCGAUCGUGGUUUACAAUUAUAGCUUUCAUACCUGUUUGUUUCUUUUUAUUUUCUUUUUUAUCAUCUUCCAGAUAAAGAACGAACAAGAGUAAAAAUGAAGUUGAUUCAAAUAAAGAUUUCACUGGUAUCCUAUGUCAAUAAAAGUAAAAGAAAGAAAAUAAGGGAAAAAGAAAGAUACCAAAGCAAUGUUGUAUCAGGCUCCCUAUCUUUUUGUAGUUGGAUCUCCAAGUUUUUGGAAUGCCCCAAAUUCGACUUGAGCAUCUAAAUCUGGGUCAAUACCAGCAAAAACAUCUCUGAACAAGGUUCUAGCACCAUGCCAAAUGUGUCCGAAGAAGAAGAGCAAAGCAAACGAAGCAUGCCCAAAAGUAAACCAACCCCUUGGACUGCUACGAAAAACACCAUCAAAUUUCAAAGUAGCACUAUCUAAUUCAAAAAUUUCACCCAAUUGAGGACGUCUAGCAUAUUUUUUCAUAGUAGCAGGAUCACUAUAACUGACGCCAUUGAGUUCACCGCCAUGGAACUCAAUAGUUACACCUACUUGUUCAACACUAUACUUCAAUUCUGCCCUUCUAAAAUGAACAUCGGCCCUAACAAUUCCAUCACCAUCUACUAAAACAACCAAAAAUGUUUCAAAAAAGUAGGCAUACGACGUACAAAAAGUUCACGCCCUUCUUUAUUCUAAAGAUAGGGUGUCCUAACCAUCCAACUGCUAUUCCAUCCCCGUUAUCCAUUGAACCUACUUUGAAUAAUCCUCCUUUUGCUGGAUUAUUGCCGAUGUAAUCAUAAAAAGCUAAUUUUUCAGGAAUUCUAGACUAGGCUCCUGAUAAACUUUGACUUUUUACUAGCCCAGCACUAACUCUUUGAUAUAUUUCUUGCUGGAAGUACCCCUGAUCCUAUUAAUAUCGAGUGGGCACAAAUAAUUCAAUCGGGGUAGUUGCCGAACCAUACCACAUAGUUUCGGCAACAACAAAAGCUGUAAAAAAGACAGCAGCAAUACUACUGGAAAGGACGGUUUCAAUAUUUCCCAUACAUAAUCCUUUGUAUAGACGUUGUGUUGGAUGGACGCUAAAAUGGAAUAGGCCUGCUAAUAUGCCCAAUGUUCCUACUGCAAUGUGAUGAGAGGCUAUUCCUCCUGGAACAAAAGGAUCAAAACCUUCCACGCCCCACGCUGGAUUUACAGGUUGUACUUUUUCCGUUAGUCCAUAAGGAUCGGACACCCAUAUUUUGAGACUAUACAAGCCUGUUACAUGAAAUGCACCAAAACCAAAGAAAGCUACCCCUGAGAGAAAUAAAUGAAUUCCAAAGAGGGUUUUCCUGUACGUUUAUCACAAAAUAUUUCUAGAUCCCAAUACACCCAAUGCUAGAUAGCUGCCAAAAAGCAUAAGCCAAAAAACACAAUAUGUGCUCCUGCUACACCUUCAUAACUCCAAAUACCCGAAUUCGUUAUAGUCCCCCCUGUGAUACUCCAACCGCCUCAUGAAUUGGUUAUUCCUAAAUGAGUCAUGAAGGGUAUAACGAACAUAACCUAUCUCCAUAUUAGAUCAAUAACAGGAUCAGAAAGAUUAAAAACCGCUAAUUCAUACAGAGCCAUCGAACUGGCCCAACCAGCAACCAGAGUUGUAUGCAUUAUAUUAACAGAAAGUAAUCAACCGGGAUCAUUUAAUACAAUGGUACGAACAUGAUACCAAGGCAAACCCAUGGAAAUACCUCUUAUAUCAAAGAUAAAUGGACACUACGUAACUUUAUUGCAUUGGAAAAGACUAUAAUAUGACUAUCCUAUGGACCACUCUUGUUCAGUCGAUUAUUUCUGAAUCAAGGGUGUUCUAUUCUAGUGUUAAUAAUGGAACAAUUCUAUUUGUAGGAACAAAGAGAAGUAGAUUUAUUAAAUACUCGAUAAGUACCAAUACACAAUGGGGGAGUUGAUCUCAUUUUCUAUGAGAGAAUGAGUCCAUACAUAUUUAUCAUUAGAAAGACCUAUACAUAAUAAUUUGAGUUUAUUCAUUCUAUCUUUAUUUAUGAAUUUUUAGAAUCUAUGGAUAAAAUAAAUAUGAUAAGAACCAAUAUGAAUAUUCUAAAGACAAUAAAAAAAUUGUUACGUUUCCACCUCAAAGUGAAAUAUAGUAUUUAGUUCUUUCUUUUAUUUAAUGCCUAUUGGUGUUCCGAAAGUUCCCUUCCGAGGUCCUGGAGAGGCAAAUCCACUUUGGGUUGACGUAUAGUAUGACUUGUCAGAUAUAUUGGGUCAUAUGGUAUUUCCCCGUUCUCUCCCCCGAUCAAGAUAUCCCCCGUUUUGCCCAAAAAUGAUAAAACGAUAAAUUGAAUCAUAAAAAAUUUGGAGCGUGAAGUGCAAUUAGAUCCAUUUUUUAGGGGAUUCAUAUUACUAUUAUCAAUUAGAAUAAUUUAUGGUUGGUUUGGUUGGACUAAAAAAAUGAAGUAUCUAGGCUCCGUUUAGAAAAAACCUAAUUGGAUUGGUAAGAUAUCUAUGAUUGCUAUUCAUAUUUUUUCUUUGUAAUUUGUAAAGAGAUCCUAAUUGUCAAGCAAAGUUAUCUCAACUCUAAUAAAUACUUGUAUAAAAUAAAUUGAAAAAAAAAAAGAAAUACAAAAAGAAAUGGUAAUGGGAGCAUUUGUCCUAUAUGUACAAAUCCAAAUCGGGCGGAUCUUUACCCGGAGUAGAGCAUAAACCUAAAAAGAUGAAACAGACCCAUUCAGGAACAAGAAAAUACCAUCGCGGUUUGGAUUAAAUCUCGAUGAAAGAAUACAUCAAUGAGAAGUUAAUUCGAUAAGUUUAAUGACCCUUUCUUAUAACUUCUAAUUUUAUACUGGAAAAUCGAAAAUAGAAAUAUAAAAAAGGAGUCAAAACUCCUCUUUAUUGAAAAAUCGAAGAAAAACCCUUUCGUUAGAAGUAAGAAAGAACCUUUCUAGAAAUAAAGAAAGAGGACUGGAAUCUAUACAUUGAUUCACAAUUUUUUUGAACCGUAUGCAUCAAAAGGUGCAUGUACAGUUCCUAAGGAAUAUAAUUUUACCCUAAUCAACCGACUUUAUCGACAAAGGUUACUUUUUUUAGGCCAAGGUAUUAAUAGCGAGAUUUCAAAUCAACUUAUUGGUCUUAUGGUAUAUCUCAGUAUCGAGGAUGCGGCCAAAGAGCUGUAUUUGUUUAUAACCUCUCCUGGGUGCUAGGUAAUACCUGCGAUGGCUAUUUAUGAUACUAUGCAAUUUGUGCGACCAGAUGUCAAUACAGUAUGCAUGGGAUUAGCCGCUUCA